AGCAUUAUACAGCGAAACUGCGAAUGGCUCAUUAUAUAAGUUAUCGUUUAUUUGAUAGUACCUUACUACUUGGAUAACCGUGGUAAUUCUAGAGCUAAUACAUGCUAAAAAUCCCGACUCCGGAAGGGAUGUAUUUAUUAGAUUAAAAACCAAUGCCCUCUGGGCUCCUUGGUGAUUCAUGAUAACUUUUCGAAUCGCACGGCCUUGCGCCGGCGAUGGUUCAUUCAAAUUUCUUCCCUAUCAACUUUCGAUGUUUGGGUAUUGGCCAAACAUGGUCGCAACGGGUAACGGAGGGUUAGGGCUCGACCCCGGAGAAGGAGCCUGAGAAACGGCUACUACAUCCAAGGAAGGCAGCAGGCGCGCAAAUUACCCAAUCCCGAUUCGGGGAGGUAGUGACAAUAAAUACUGAUACAGGGCUCUUUUGGGUCUUGUAAUUGGAAUGAGUACAAUUUAAAUCCCUUAACGAGGAACAAUUGGAGGGCAAGUCUGGUGCCAGCAGCCGCGGUAAUUCCAGCUCCAAUAGCGUAUAUUAAAGUUGUUGUGGUUAAAAAGCUCGUAGUUGAACCUUGGGCCUGGCUGGCCGGUCCGCCUCACCGCGUGUACUGGUCCGGCCGGGCCUUUCCCUCUGUGGAACCUCAUGCCCUUCACUGGGUGUGGCGGGGAAACAGGACUUUUACUUUGAAAAAAUUAGAGUGCUCCAGGCAGGCCUAUGCUCGAAUACAUUAGCAUGGAAUAAUAAAAUAGGACGUGUGGUUCUAUUUUGUUGGUUUCUAGGACCGCCGUAAUGAUUAAUAGGGACAGUCGGGGGCAUCAGUAUUCAAUUGUCAGAGGUGAAAUUCUUGGAUUUAUUGAAGACUAACUACUGCGAAAGCAUUUGCCAAGGAUGUUUUCAUUAAUCAGGAACGAAAGUUAGGGGAUCGAAGACGAUCAGAUACCGUCGUAGUCUUAACCAUAAACUAUGCCGACUAGGGAUCGGACGAUGUUAUUUUUUGACGCGUUCGGCACCUUACGAGAAAUCAAAGUGCUUGGGCUCCAGGGG
rnacentral:rRNA from 1 species